GAUGAAGAACGUAGCGAAAUGCGAUAAGUAGUGUGAAUUGCAGAAUUCCGUGAAUCAUCGAAUCUUUGAACGCACAUUGCGCCCCCUGGUAUUCCGGGGGGCAUGCCUGUCCGAGCGUCAUUACAACCCUCAAGCUCAGCUUGGUAUUGGGCCCCGCCGACCCGGCGGGCCCUAAAGUCAGUGGCGGUGCCGUCCGGCUCCGAGCGUAGUAAUUCUUCUCGCUCUGGAGGUCCGGUCGUGUGCUCGCCAGCAACCCCCAAUUUUUUUCAGGUUGACCUCGGAUCAGGUAGGGAUACCCGCUGAACUUAAGCAUAUCAAUAAGCGGAGGA
rnacentral:misc_RNA from 1 species